rnacentral:rRNA from 1 species
UGCGUUCUUAGUGGCGAACGGGUGAGUUAACACGUGGGCAACCUGCCCCCAGACUGGGGGAUAACACUGUGAAAACAGUGCGUAAUACCGCAUGACAGGGUUCCGGGCAUCCGGGACUCUUGAAGGGAGAAAUCCGGUCAGGGAUGGGGACCCGCGUCCAAAUUAGCUAGUUGGUGGGGUAACGGCCCACCAAGGCGACGAUUGGUAGCCGAACUGAGAGGUUGAUCGGCCACAUUGGGACUGAGACACGGCCCAGACUCCUACGGGAGGCAGCAGUGGGGAAUAUUGGGCAAUGGGCGAAAGCCCUGACCCAGCGACGCCGCGUGAAGGAUGAAGGUUCUUCGGAUUGUAAACUUCUUUGAUCAGGGAAGAAAGAAAUGACGGUACCUGAAAAACAAGCCACGGCUAACUACGUGCCAGCAGCCGC